GAAUUGUGUCGAUGUCACAAUAUUUAUGGACCUGACCGUAGAUAAAAUACUUUGCCAAGCAAUUUAUAAAGUUAAUGCAUAUAAGAAUCCAUUAGUAUUAAAGAACAUAAGCUUUAGAAGAAGUUGAUCCUCCUUCGUGGGACAAUGCUGCAUGUUUACCAACAGCUACAGUUUGAGACAAACCCUCUGUUAACAGGAGCAUAUAAUUCACGAUGGGAAAGAGAUAA